CAGCAGCCGCGGGAAUACGAGGGGGGCAAGCGUUGUUCGGAAUUACUGGGCGUAAAGGGAGCGUAGGCGGAUCGUUUAGUUGGGGGUGAAAUCCCGGGGCUCAACCUCGGAACUGCCUUCAAUACUGGCGAUCUUGAGUAUGGGAGAGGUGUGUGGAACUCCGAGUGUAGAGGUGAAAUUCGUAGAUAUUCGGAAGAACACCAGUGGCGAAGGCGACACACUGGCCCAUUACUGACGCUGAGGCUCGAAAGCGUGGGGAGCAAACAGGAUUAGAUACCCGUGUAGUCCCUGUCUCUUAUAC
rnacentral:rRNA from 1 species